rnacentral:lncRNA from 1 species
UUCCAGCCAAAUUGAAUAUGGCCUCUACUUAUUUGAAAGAGUGGCGGAGAAAAAGAGCUUGGGAGGGUGAUUUCAUGGAUGAAUUUUUGAAUUGGAUUCAAGGUAAGGAUUUAUCAGGUUUAGCAGUGGUUUUUAAGUAGGGUGGGGGCUAUUUUAAAAUAGUGCAACAGCAUAUGAUUUUGUGUUUAAAAGCCAAAGUUAAGCACCACACUCAUCAUCCAUUUAUUGUCUCGUUCUCGGAUUUUGCAGCGAGGAAGAGGGUUUAUUCCUACCCAAUGCCUGAGUAAAGUAAGAGUGGCAUAACUACAGUACAAAAUGUUGUUAAGUAAUGUAUUCUAAUUAUUGAAUUGAAUGUUACUAAAUCAUAUCUUUUCACCAAGAGUUCCAGCGGGUGGUCGUGGAAACACUUUUGGAAAUCUGCGAUGAAUUGAAAUCGCUCAACCAGCAGGGGGACAUUGAAGAUGAGGGUGAGCAGAUACGUCAGUUGCUGUUAAGGACUUUGGAGGAGGCUCAGCGCAUGUCGUUGGAAAUCAGUAGGCACCCCAGCAUAAAACGUUUACUGGUAAGUCAAAUAGAGAUGCUAAAAAUGAUAGAAAUCUAUACAUUAGACACUCUUGAUAAUUUGAUUAUAUCAUACAGAUAAAACAACUGUCACACCUUGGGGGGAAGGACAUCAAGACCUGCACACGCAGGAUCCUGGACAGGUAUGAAUAUGACAGCAAGACAAUGUUAUUAAUGUAAUCAUGUAUUGUUGGUGUUUAUCAAGUCUUUCUAGUGAAUUGCAAGAGUAAGCAGUAUUAAGGUGCGUUCACACAGGCACUUGCGCAACGGCAGCGAGGGUUUCUCUGAGGUUUUAGGGACUUGUUCCGCAAAUAAAGA